UUCUUAGUGGCGGACGGGUGAGUAACGCGUGGGUAACCUGCCCUGUACAGGGGGAUAACACUUAGAAAUAGGUGCUAAAACUGCAUAAGCGCACAGUACCGCAUGGUACAGUGUGAAAAACUCCGGUGGUACAGGAUGGACCCGCGUCUGAUUAGCUGGUUGGAGGGGUAACGCCCACCAAGGCGACGAUCAGUAGCCGGCCUGAGAGGGUGAACGGCCACAUUGGGACUGAGACACGGCCCAAACUCCUACGGAAGGCAGCAG
rnacentral:rRNA from 1 species